AAACUUAUCUGGAGUCGGGGUCAGGGUGAUUAGCAAGGCUUUGACUCCAAGUGGGAGCUCAGCAUUGCACUCCGCUGUGUUAAAGCCUGCGACGGUCUCCAAUCUGGUCCUUUCUGGUGCAUAGUUUUUGCCAUUGGGAAGAUCUCGGGUGUUCAUU
rnacentral:snRNA from 12 species